CACGUAGGGGGCGAGCGUUGUCCGGAUUUAUUGGGCGUAAAGAGCUCGUAGGCGGCUCAGUAAGUCGGGUGUGAAAACUCCAGGCUCAACCUGGAGACGCCACCUGAUACUGCUGUGGCUAGAGUCCGGUAGGGGAGCAUGGAAUUCCUGGUGUAGCGGUGAAAUGCGCAGAUAUCAGGAGGAACACCAGUGGCGAAGGCGGCUCACUGGCCCGGUACUGACGCUGAGGUGCGAAAGCGUGGGGAGCAAACAGG
rnacentral:rRNA from 1 species